GGACCCGAAAGAUGGUGAA
rnacentral:ncRNA from 2 species